rnacentral:lncRNA from 1 species
UUUAUUUGCAUUAAAACUAGCAUAAUUAAUAUAGUUAACAUGUCAAACAAACCAAGGGAUCAUUUCUCUUCACGAAAACUUAUUUGUGUUUGCUGUGGUGAUAAGAACUUAAAAUGUACUGAACUGGUAACUGGAAAUCCUUUACUAACCUUGAUUCAACUGUAAGCCAACACCAACUAUAAUAGGACACUUCUUUCCAACCCUAUUAGGUUAAUUCCAAGCUGCAAGAUUUAUUUGUACUCAGCUAAAAAAGGAGAAACUUUAUUACUAGUUACUUUAGAGAGGUGGUUGCUCACAUCAGAUAGAAUAAAGUUAAUUCCAAGAUUUAAAGGUGAGACAGUGUCAACAUGUGAUUGCCUGCUCUAUAUCGUAUCAAGAAAUAAAUCCAAAUCUAUAAACCUUCAGGAUGUAUUAAACAUGUAUAUUAAUGAUUCUAAAGUACCAAAGGAGGUUAUAAAUAAAAUUUGUUGUACUUGUUAUCAGAGAAUUGGAUCUGGAAUUCAACAUCCCUGUAGUAAAAGAGACAUUGUACAGAACCUAAAAACACUGCUAAUGACAACAGGUUUAAAAACAGUUGAGCAAGUACUUAGCAAAUCUCUAAAAGGAAUUCAACAAUUUAAAAUAUUGAGUUAGACAACACUGUUACAUUGUUAACUGGAGGAACUCUACCCAGACUUUCUAUAAUAUCAAAAGAAAGUAUGAUAUGUCAGACUGUACAAUUGAUUCAAUAGCAAUGGAAUUAAGAAAAGAUUUGGGUAGAUUAGGUUUGGAAUCUAAUUCUUCCAAAAAAAAUUAAGAUAUUGUCACAUGCUUUAGAUAACAAUUACUCAGUGGAAAAAGCGGAAUUUUUAUCCGAAAAUAAAGUUAAAGAAAAUAAAACUAUUGAAACUAUCAUUAAAGAUCUAGUGUAUGUCAAAGAUCCUGUAUCUCUAGUUAAUCAUGUUUGCAUUACUAGUGGACUAGAAAUUGAUAAUGUUAUUAUUCGUGUAAGAAUAGAUAGUGGCCAAGGAUCUUUAAAAGUUAUUUUGAAUGUUUUUAACAGAGAAGUAAAUUAUAACUUAUAAAAGAAACCAAAAAUACUGGAGUGAACAAAGUUAUAAUAUUAGCUUUUGCCAAAAAUGUUUGGGAAAGCCACACAAAUCUUUAAAUUUUUAUAGAAAAAACAAAGCUAAACAAUUUAAAGUUUUACCUUGCUGCAGAUCUUAAAUUAUGCAACAUAGUUUUGGGUUUGUCAGGACAUGGGGGAAAAUAUUCAUGUUUAUUUUGUGAUGGUGAUAAAACUAAUCUUGGAGAACCGAGAAUCUUUAACAUGCUAAAGAACAUGUAUAAAAACUUUGCUGAAAGUCGAUUUAAAAAAAGUUCUAUGCAACUCUGUAAGAAUGUUAUACAUCCAUGUCUCCUGGUUGAGUCUGAAGAGAUGUGUGUGCUUGAUGUCAUCCCUCCAGAACUUCAUUUAAUGAUGAAGAUAUAACAGAAAUUUCAAAUGUCUUCUAAAAGGAACCUGAUAUUGCUCUCUGGUUAAAAAAACAUGGAAAUAUUUGGCAUGGGUAAAAUGGAGGUGGGCUGGAUGGUAGAAAUGCUAACAAAAUAUGGAAGCUUUUUCCAGAUUUGGAAAAUUUAUUUUAGAUACUAUUCUUCUUACCAUCCAGUUGUUGAACUGUUAAAGUCUUUUUUAACAGUAGUAAACAUGUGUUUCGGAAUGAAACUCCAUGACGGUUAUGCUGAUGCCAUUGCAACAUAUAUAAGGAAGUUAAAGGAAAACCAAGAGUAUGUUAAGACUACAUUCAACCACAAUCUUUCUAUGGGAUGGAAAGGUCAUAUAAUUGAACACCAUCUUGUGAUGUUUAUAAAUAGAACUGAGCUGCCAUUGGGAGUAUUUUCUGAGCAAUGUUCUGAAUCUGUUUAUCAUAAUAUGUUGAAAACACUGAGCAGAUUCUCAACUUAAGAGUUCCAUGAGAGAGCCAUGGAGAGCUUCUUAGAAAGGCAAUAGUUGAAUAUUCAAG